GACGAACCGAGCGAACGUUAUUCGGAAUCACUGGGCUUAAAGGGUGCGUAGGCGGGUCCGUCAGUCAGGGGUGAAAUCCCACGGCCCAACCGUGGAAGUGCCUCUGAUACUGCGGGCCUGGAGGGGGAUAGGGGCGUGCGGAACUUCCGGUGGAGCGGUGAAAUGCGUAGAUAUCGGAAGGAACACCGGUGGCGAAAGCGGCGCGCUGGACCUCUACUGACGCUGAGGCGCGAAAGCCAGGGGAGCAAACGGG
rnacentral:rRNA from 1 species